rnacentral:rRNA from 1 species
CCUACGGGUGGCAGCAGUGGGGAAUAUUGGGCAAUGGACGCAAGUCUGACCCAGCAACGCCGCGUGAAGGAAGAAGGCUUUCGGGUUGUAAACUUCUGUCCUAUGGGAAGAAAAAAAUGACGGUACCAUAUGAGGAAGCCCCGGCUAACUACGUGCCAGCAGCCGCGGUAAUACGUAGGGGGCGAGCGUUGUCCGGAAUUACUGGGCGUAAAGAGAGCGUAGGCGGCACUACAAGUCUCAUGUGAAAUACCCGGGCUUAACUUGGGGGUUGCAUGGGAAACUGUAGAGCUUGAGUACAGGAGAGGCAAGCGGAAUUCGUAGUGUAGCGGUGAAAUGCAUAGAUAUUAGGAGGAACACCAGUGGCGAAGGCGGCUUGCUGGACUGAAACUGACGCUGAGGCUCGAAAGCGUGGGGAGCAAACAGGAUUAGAUACCCGGGUAGUC